UAUAGUCCCAUGCCUUUCUCUGCCUCUGUGGUGGAUAGUGGAGUGUUUCCCAUGUGGUAUUGGUGUGCUGGAUAUCCCUUCACUGGUAGCCUGGUAACAUAUACUCCCAGCUCUUUCUCUGCCUCUGUGGUGGAUAGUGGAGUGUUUCCCAUGUGGUAUUGGUGUGCUGGAUAUCCCUUCACUGGUAGCCUGGUAACAUACACUCCCAGGUCUUUCUCUGCCUCUGUGGUGGAUAGUGGAGUGUUUCCCAUGUGGUAUUGGUGUGCUGGAUAUCCCUUCACUGGUAGCCUGGCAACAUACACUCCCAGGUCUUUCUCUGCCUCUGUGGUGGAUAGUGGAGUGUUUCCCAUGUGGUAUUGGUGUGCUGGAUAUCCCUUCACUGGUAGCCUGGUAACAUACACUCCCAGGUCUUUCUCUGCCUCUGUGGUGGAUAGUGGAGUGUUUCCCAUGUGGUAUUGGUGUGCUGGAUAUCCCUUCACUGGUAGCCUGGUAACAUACACUCCCAGGUCUUUCUCUGCCUCUGUGGUGGAUAGUGGAGUGUUUCCCAUGUGGUAUUGGUGUGCUGGAUAUCCCUUCACUGGUAGCCUGGUAACAUACACUCCCAGGUCUUUCUCUGCCUCUGUGGUGGAUAGUGGAGUGUUUCCCAUGUGGUAUUGGUGUGCUGGAUAUCCCUUCACUGGUAGCCUGGAAACAUAUACUCCCAGGUCUUUCUCUGCCUCUGUGGUGGAUAGUGGAGUGUUUCCCAUGUGGUAUUGGUGUGCUGGAUAUCCCCUCCC